rnacentral:rRNA from 1 species
GCUUUGUGGUUCAACUGAUUUGAAGAGCUUGCUCAGAUAUGACGAUGAACAUUGCAAAGAGUGGCGAACGGGUGAGUAACACGUGGGAAACCUACCUCUUAGCAGGGGAUAACAUUUGGAAACAGAUGCUAAUACCGUAUAACAAUAGCAACCGCAUGGUUGCUACUUAAAAGAUGGUUCUGCUAUCACUAAGAGAUGGUCCCGCGGUGCAUUAGUUAGUUGGUGAGGUAAUGGCUCACCAAGACGAUGAUGCAUAGCCGAGUUGAGAGACUGAUCGGCCACAAUGGGACUGAGACACGGCCCAUACUCCUAC